rnacentral:rRNA from 1 species
AUAUCACUAAGCGGAGGAAAAGAAAUUAACUAAGAUUGCCCCAGUAACGGCGAGUGAAGCGGCAAAAGCCCAAAUUGGUAAUCUUCACACUGUGUGUGACGAAUUGUAAUCUAUAGGUGGAGUGCUCACCUGGUGGAGACGCAGAAGUGCCCUAGAAUGGGCCGCCAGAGAGGGUGACAGCCCCGUAUGUGGUGUCUCUGCUUAACGAGUGCCCUUCGAAGAGUCGGGUUGUUUUGAAUUGCAGCCCUAAGUGGGAGAUAGACUUCUUCUAAGGCUAAAUAUUUAUGGGAGACCGAUAGCGCACAAGUA